AAACAACAAGCUUUAUUGAAGUUUGUAUUUUCGACAUACAAGAUUACGUUAAAAGACGUAGUUGUUUA
rnacentral:tRNA from 1 species